UUGUCUUUCACCACACCGCUAGAACUUUGAGAACGGAAACGUAAAGUAUAAUCAAUAAAAUUCCUGCAGCCGUUUCAAAUCAGCCCCACACUCUAUUCAUCUGAAUAACGGAUUACCUUCCACCUUCCUCUUCUAAAUGCCCACUAACUCCAAAUCGAAACUGCAUAGCAAAUUUAUGGCUGCUCAAAUCGCACCACGCAUUCAUCCUCCUUAUAUAAAAGGGAUUACCAGCGUCAAAUAAAUCUCCCACCUUUCGUCUCUAAUACAGCAAUGGAGAAGAGAGAUAAAGAAGUUUCAAAUAUUUGCUGACAACCAAACUCAAGCGAAUUUUGCCAUUUCAAAUCUUCACCCUCUGUAUAUAGACUCACAUUUCCGAAGGCCAAAAAGAAUGAGCGAGCUCUCGGGAGAGGGGUUUUAAAAAGUCAAAAAGGAUAAGAAUUACCAUAGUAAAGAGCAAACCGUUGUGAAUAACUGCCCGGUGUGUGGUGAGGCUCUUCAACUCUCAGACAAACUCAAUGCGAUGAUUUAUUCAUAUGACUCUGUUUCGACCAAGGAACGGAUAAUCAAGUGAUGACUGGAGAGUUUUUGACUGAUAGACAACCUUCGUAUGGAUGGAUGUUCAAACUAAGUGAAUGGACGUACUUAUCAACUUAUGACGUUGGUUUGAAUACUGGUUCAAGUGCUUCACAUAUUGUGGUGUGAUUGACUGAAGACUAAUAGGCUGGUCGAAGAGUUGAUCGACUCAACGAUUGUUUUGUCCAUGAGAGCUAUUAACCAGUCAAAACUCGGGAUUUGACAUAUGGAUCAAGUUUCGUUGUGCCCAAAAGCUUCACGUCCUCUCUAUCACGCCAUUCUAACAAAUCAUACAGCGGCAAAGGAGAUUCUACAUAGACUUUCUGAGAAGCAGGGGAAGAAGAUAAGCUCAGUGGAAUCCGCUUUAAAAUACACAGCCUUCUCAACUUCUUUAAGCCAUGGAAAGUUACUACCUCUUUUGCUAUAUUGUGUUUCCUUACUACCGCCCAAAAGCAUUCUAUCUUAGCUUCUUAUAACCAUGUAAUUAGUAUCAUUCAUGUUGUAUCUAAUGUCCUUUUUCAU